rnacentral:tRNA from 1 species
GCCCAGGCGGUGCAAUUCUGGACUGAUCUUCACCUCCUGAUUUGUAAUCAGGGGGUCUCGGGUUCGAAUCCUGAUGUCGGCACCA